rnacentral:rRNA from 1 species
AUGGAAUUAGCGCAUGAGCUAGAGGUGGAGUGGACAAAGGAAUGGCACUGCCGAGUCGCGUUGUGUGCUUUUGGGCAGGUCUCCUCCACAAGAGAGUACAAGGCGCUCCGCGUCUCUGAAAUUCGUGACCGGAAAGUAUGUGAGGUUAUUACCUUUGAUGACGCCAACCAUGGAAGCUGGAGGAGAAAGCAAGACCCUCCGUCGCCCCACAUCUUUCCCAGUAGAUCAAUGAGAUGUGUGGUCGUCGAUGGGGUGGUGUACUUUUUGAAAGACUUUUACAGCAAUUAUUCUAAAACUGGGGUUAUUACCAUUGAACCUGGUAGCGUAGCUUCGUGUAACCUCGAGACGGAGGAGUGGGGUGUUUUACGUGGUCCAGAACAGGUGCAGAGUUUUGUGCAAGAGAACGAGCAUUACACCUACAUAAAACUUGAUCUCCAGUUAGAAUUGGCAGAGUUGAACAACUGCUUAGUUAUGGUUCAUAAUAUUUAUAGCAUAUCCAUAGACUUGUGGUUUUUGACAGAUUUUGAGAAAGGUAUCUGGGUUAAGAAAUACAGCAUGCCUUCACAAGUUGCUAGGCCUUUUACCAAUCCUUUGCUGAUGUUAGAUGACGGGAGGAUCUUCUUCAGUGAAGCGAAUUUCUUUGGGGAUAGAGAGGGAUUUCUGCGUUGUUAUGACUUAAAAAAUGACACUUACACUGAUGUGCUACAACUGAAAGAUUCAGAAUCCAUUGGCAUUUACGAAGGAAGCCUGCUGAGU